rnacentral:ncRNA from 1 species
AUACAGGCAAUGAUCAGGACAGGAAAGAUGGCGGUCCAUGGCACAGAGAGCCGGCGGAGGGUGCAAGCCGGUACAUUCCGUUAUUUUUUAUCGCCUGAGAGCUCCAUUUUUGAAAUAAGUAAAAAAUGGCGUUUAUCCACGUUACGGAGGAAGGAUUAAGAGUAUAAUGUAGGGUGGUACCGCGACUGUUCGCCCCUAUCUUCAGCAAUGAAGGUGGGGGCUUUUCUGUUAUCGGGAAGUUCUGCCUCUUUUUCCUUAGAGCGAUAAAUACAGGGUGGUACCGCGGAGAUUUCCGCCCCUGCU